rnacentral:tRNA from 1 species
GGUCUCGUAGCUCAGUUGGGAGAACGUUCACCGCAUGGUGACAUCCGUGUGUGUGUGUGUGUGAGUUCGAAUCCCACCGAGGCUA